AAUAUCACAAAGUUGUGAAUUUUUGUUUGAGAAAGAAAAAUAUUCCUAAGAGCAAUGUCAAUGAGUCAAAUUAAAAAAUGUACUCUGAUGUUCUUGAUGAUAAUGAUAUUUACAAUUCAAGUUGAAUGCAUAACUCAAUCUCAAGCUUUUAAGUCAGAGUCGGUAUUUAAAUGUGAGUUUAAGUGUUACUUUAAGUGUAAAGUUAAGGUAAUUUAUGGUUAUGAUGUCUGCAUGACAAACUGUUUUCACCAAUGCAGACAUCCACCACCCAAUUCUGAUGCUUCACAUAACUAAUGGUACUAGUGCUUCAAGUGAAUGUGUGUAGAGCUUGUGGUGCUUUCAUACAUCUCUUAAAGAUCCAAGAGUUAUAAUAAUUAAUAAAUAAUGCGUGUGUUUUAUGUGAUGUUAUCAGUAAAAUGUAUUGAUAAAUAUUGACAUUUUGUCAAAAAUUAAAUAAAUAUAUCAUAAAUCAGGA